UGUGAAUUCAGGUGGGAAAACCCUCAUUAAAACAUCAACCACCUGAACCUCGCCCUCCUAAAAACUCAGCCAUCACAAAGGGUUUACUCCCAGGGAUUCAGUCGCGGUCCAGAAAACUUGGUAACGCAGCACCCACAUUCGUGCGUUCCCAGAAAAAAAGGCGUGCUGAUCACAGGGGCAGCAAAAGCGUGUAGUGAAAGUCCACAGUCGUUCGAAAUUGAAACAGAACCACCCCGCGCAAAGCUCUGACACCCGUGAGGCAAAAUGUUACUGUGAAAUUCAGAGAAACAGAGCGUGACUAGGGAAGCAGCAGAGAGAGAGACACACACACAGAAUCCGAAGCAGGUUCCAGCCUCCAAGCUGUCAGCACAAGAGCCCGAUGCGGGGCCUGAACUCACGGACCACGAGAUCAUGACCUGAGCCGAAGUCGGACGCUCAACCAACUGAGCCACCCAGGUGCCCCGAUUCGUAAUUUUUUAAAAAGGAGGGAGAAGGAGCAAUCCCUGCCGAUGGACACAGGCAUUUUUUGGCCCUAACGCCACAAGUUCUGGAAUCCAAAACGGGCAUGAGCUGCUGCAGGGAAGGCCUUGGUUCCCCCGUGAGCAGGGUGCCACAGCACAGGCACCGAUGAGGGAGGAAGCGGCACUGAGGAGGGAAAGGGGCAGCACGAGCCCCUGAAACCUCAGCUCCAUCACCUCCACACCCCACCCCUGCCCCGGAAGCCCGGCUGUCCCGGAGCAAAGCAAGGGGCUGGGGGUGAGGCCGCCACACCCGUCACGGGGCCAAGGCCAGCCCCUCACAUGGGAAACCUACGCGAUACAGGCCGCCUAGUGUACUAGGCCCGUGCUGUUCCCUCCGGCGCCGGUGAGCCAGCCGCCACCCUCUGAUGCCGGACUCCCCCAUGGGGCCCGGGUCAUGCUGAGCGCUGCCCCCGUGAGCUGGGCGGCAGGGCCAGGCCUCCCCGUGCAGCCUCACGCCUCAGAGGCACAUCGCUCAUCAGCAAACACUUCCACAGAAGUCGCUCCAGCUUCCCGAUGUCAACGGGAGCCAGAGAGCGCACGCCGACGAGUGCCAGGAACCCUGUCCUCAACUUCCGGCUCGGGUGGGACAGCUGGGCCACUCCAGACCUAUGCCGCUCCUGACCCAGGCUUGCAUCCCUCCCUUCGAAAGGGGGGCGGUGACGAUUGCUCCUUUCCCUUCCAGGGACCACGGAGGACGCCUGAGCAGACAUGUACCGCCAACGGCAUGCUUGACAGAUGGUCUUUAUAGCAGAGGCAUCAACGGGAGUGAACCAACGUGUGACUUAAGGUCCCCUGUGCCCUUCCCUGACGACGGGCAGUGACCAGCCCCCUCAACGUGGCUCUCCUUUGGGGUGUUACCACACGUGUCCGUUCCUUGGCCGGACGGCUUCGCUGUGGACUUUACGUGCGGGUGCCCUGUCUGCUCCACACGGUUUUCAGAUUCCGACACACGCACGGAGCACAUAGUGCGUUCACUCUCACCGUCGCCAAGCGUCCGCCGUACAAAUACACGGCCCUCUGCCAACCUGGUCACUUACAAACAAGGCCUUGAGAGCACACCUCCUGCCCUCCGUGGUGCCCACUCGGGAGCGGGACUAUUGGGUCGCAGCGUAUACACGUCUUCGCUGUUAAUGCCAAAUAGCUUCCCAAGUCCCAGCAGUGCUGUGAACAUAAACAGCGCUCUCUAGGAAAACAGACGUGGGAGAACAGAAACGUGCCGCCUUCUCUCAAAAUCAGGGUUGUACAACUUCCUGAAGCGGCAGGUUCGCUUUGGCACAGUCAUCGGGGAAGUGAGGGCACGACAAGGCUGCAGAGGGGACCUCGCCCCCUCGGUCUUACAGGUGCUCUGGAGAAACUCCCCGAAUACAGUGCUUCCUGGGGUGGUGAGCGCAGAAAUGGAAACAGCCACUCUGAGGCAGAAGGACAGUUGGACGGCAGCACACAGCUGACCCCGGAGACGUCAGGGGCCCCCCAGGCUCCACAGGGAGGUGCAAGUCUGCUGGGGGAACUAGCUCCCUAAGGGACAGGUGCAACGGCUGGGCCAUACUUACAGGUGCGCCUGCUUCUCCGCCAGUUCUUUGGUUUUCUCCUACAAUCAGAGACAAAAAAAUCAAGCAUCAGAAAAGACAGGACAGCACAGGAUGUGCUCAGCGAGAACGCCACUAAACGCCCAGCACACCGUCCGCGUAAAAACACGGCACUACUGUGCGGACUGUUUACUCGAAGCUGUGCCAGAAAGGCCAGUUUUCCAUGUGAUGUGACCUCUCUUCGUUCCAUUGCCGAAUAUGACCUGCGUGCUUCCUGUAACAGAGAUCAUUUACAACCAUCUAGCUGACUUAACAAGCGGCCCUUUCAGAAUCAGUAAAGCAGCUCAGGCAUCUUACAGGCGCCAGAAUGAAGAUUCUAUGCGCACUCGUACCGUCCAGCUUAACACAUGCGCUUUUCGACGUCGGCCACGGCAACAGGUGGAUGGCUGUAUGGAGUGUUCACAGACGCAUUUAAACGUCCCGACGGGGACACGGGUUAGCCAACAUCCUGCAUCACUUUUAACUGAGAAGUUAUUCUUGCUUUAGUAGCAAGCUGUCAUCUGACAGAGCAGAGAUCCACUUGUUCCAAGACGUGCUCGCCCACCUCUAGUGGCGGAAGACAGACGGCUCUUGCUGCCCGACAGACAAAUGAACAACAAAAACGUACGGGGCUCUCGCCAGACCAGGGCUGAGGUGUGUGGACAGACGGGGGAAGCAGGCAGGGUGUAGCCCGGAUUCUGACUCCCUCGUGAGCCCCAGACCCUGGAUAAAGUAGUUCACCUCCACGAACCUUGGCUUCCACGCCCGUACGGUGGGGGACAAGGCUAAUCCCAGGAGCACCUCCGACAGCCACGGGCGGCACUCGGGCUCAGGCUGGCAGACGGCUCCCCGCCCGCCUCUAUGCUCCAUCACAAGCCAAGUUACACCCUCCUUGCCUCGGUUUCCUCAGCGGGGCGUGGGGUACGGCUCCCGCGUCGUAGCGUCUGACUUACUAGUGUCUGGCCCAGAGCAGGCUUAGGACAGGACAGCGAGCUAUGUAGAAACUCACAACCCCUGAGCCUCAGGCCCCCGGUCACCACAGGCCCUAGUGUGCUCAGGCUGAUGUACCUCAUGGACUUCACCUGGCCCGCACGGACCGCACUUGACCGUGCACUUGACUGCACGGAGGGAAGCGACCACACCAGGGCCAUACCAACACCAAUCCACGUGGGAACCGUCAGAGGUGGCCUCGGAUAGCCACAAUGCACGGGGAUUACUUGUACAAACCUUGGGAGGUGACAGCCCAUGUUGGCUUUUGCUUUUAAAAGGUUUCAAUUAUUUUAAACGUGCAUUUUAAUCUGAAAUAUCUAUCCAGUUUCUGCA